rnacentral:rRNA from 1 species
CAAUAGCGUAUAUUAAAGUUGUUGCAGUUAAAAAGCUCGUAGUUGAAUUUUUGCUUGCCGCCGAUGUCGGAACUUCCGUACGUUCGGCGGCGUGCAUCCUCGGGUGGAACCUGUGUGGCAUUAGGUUGUCGUGCAGGGGAUGCUCAUCGUUUACUGUGAAAAAAUUAGAGUGUUCAAAGCAGGCUUACGCCGUUGAAUAUAUUAGCAUGGAAUAAUAAGAUAGGACCUUGGUACUAUUUUGUUGGUUUGCGCACCGAGGUAAUGAUUAACAGGGACAGUUGGGGGUAUUCGUAUUCCAUUGUCAGAGGUGAAAUUCUUGGAUUUCUGGAAGACGAACUACUGCGAAAGCAUUUACCAAGGAUGUUUUCAUUAA